UACGUAGGGUGCGAGCGUUAAUCGGAAUUACUGGGCGUAAAGCGUGCGCAGGCGGUGAUGUAAGACAGAUGUGAAAUCCCCGGGCUCAACCUGGGAACUGCAUUUGUGACUGCAUCGCUGGAGUGCGGCAGAGGGGGGUGGAAUUCCGCGUGUAGCAGUGAAAUGCGUAGAGAUGCGGAGGAACACCGAUGGCGAAGGCAGCCCCCUGGGCUGACACUGACGCUCAGGCACGAAAGCGUGGGGAGGCAA
rnacentral:rRNA from 1 species